CAAGUCUUGACAUCCCUCUGAAUCCUCUAGAGAUAGAGGCGGCCUUCGGGACAGAGGUGACAGUGGUGCAUGGUUGUCGUCAGCUCGUGUCGUGAGAUGUUGGGUUAAGUCCCGCAACGAGCGCAACCCUUGAUUUUAGUUGCCAGCACUUUGGGUGGGCACUCUAGAAUGACUGCCGGUGACAAACCGGAGGAAGGCGGGGAUGACGUCAAAUCAUCAUGCCCCUUAUGACUUGGGCUACACACGUACUACAAUGGCUGGUACAACGGGAAGCGAAGCCGCGAGGUGGAGCCAAUCCUAUAAAAGCCAGUCUCAGUUCGGAUUGCAGGCUGCAACUCGCCUGCAUGAAGUCGGAAUUGCUAGUAAUCGCGGAUCAGCAUGCCGCGGUGAAUACGUUCCC
rnacentral:rRNA from 1 species